rnacentral:tRNA from 1 species
UACUCAAAUAGUUUAAAUAAAAUGUCGGUCUGUGAAUCCGGAGAUAUAAUUAAUUUAUUUUGGGUAG